rnacentral:sRNA from 1 species
AUAACAACGUCGGGAAUACAACCCGGUGAGCAUCGCGGUCUGAGUCUUGGGAGGAAGGCCUUCAGGCGCACCCACGAGGUCGCAGCCGGCACUAACAAACGGUGCAAACGAAGGCAAGUAGACGCGGAACUUUAUCAUAAGCAAGGCUUUCCAAGCCUUGCUUUUUUUU